CCUACGGGGGGCAGCAGUGGGGAAUAUUGGACAAUGGGGGGAACCCUGAUCCAGCCAUGCCGCGUGUGUGAAGAAGGCCCUCGGGUUGUAAAGCACUUUCAGUGAGGAAGAACGCCUGGUGGUUAAUACCCAUCAGGAAAGACAUCACUCACAGAAGAAGCACCGGCUAACUCCGUGCCAGCAGCCGCGGUAAUACGGAGGGUGCGAGCGUUAAUCGGAAUUACUGGGCGUAAAGCGCGCGUAGGUGGCUUGAUAAGCCGGUUGUGAAAGCCCCGGGCUCAACCUGGGAACGGCAUCCGGAACUGGCAAGCUAGAGUGCAGGAGAGGAAGGUAGAAUUCCAGGUGUAGCGGUGAAAUGCGUAGAGAUCGGGAGGAAUACCAGUGGCGAAGGCGGCCUUCUGGACUGACACUGACACUGAGGUGCGAAAGCGUGGGUAGCAAACAGGAUUAGAUACCCUAGUAGUC
rnacentral:rRNA from 1 species